UAUAAAAAUAUUUAAUUGGGGCUGGCUUACAGUUCCAAAGAUUCAAUCCAUUAUCAUCAUGGCAGGAAGCAUGGCAGCAUCCAGGCAGACACGGUGCUGAAGAAGGAGCUGAGAGCUCUAUAUCUUGAUCUGAAGGUAGGCAGGAGACUAUCUUCUGCAGCCAGUCAGGAGGGGACUCUCUUCUGAAGUGGGUAGAGCCUGUGCAUAGGACCUCAAAGCCUACCCUCAUUUCCUCUAACAAGGCCACACCCACUCCAACAAGCCGCACCCACUCCAAGAAGGCCGCGUCCAUGCCAACAAGGCUACGCCCAUGCCAACAAGGCCACACCUCCUAAUAGUGAAACUUCCCACUGGCCAAGCAUAUUCAAACUACCACAGUGACCAAAAGGGACCUGGGCUCAGAUUUCUAUACCUAGGAUCUUAAGCAUCAUCAUCUGGUAAACUCUAGGCCACGGACACUUCCCUGCAGCAACCCAUUUCUACUUUCCCAGUGUAGUUUGAAAUCGGUGCCGCAUCCAUUACCUUUAUGAGCAUUUUGUCCUUUAUGAGCAAAAGCAGCUGAUGAAGACUUACUGCUAAACCUUCUCCACUAUGAUAAUGCUGAGGUGGCACCUCUGGAGUCAGUGCUAGUUCCCACAGCGUAAGACUCUGAAGCGUUUUCCUGGUGGAUUACAGCUCCAUCCAUAUUCCUUUCACCACAGAAUCACAAGUUUUGGAUUCAAAGUUCGGCAGAGAGAGAAGCCGAUGAUUCUUCGGAUUUUUGCUGACCCCGAGAUCAAGAUGUAGAGCUCUCAACUCCUUCUCCAGCAUCAUGUCUGCCUGGAUUCUGUCAUGCUUCCCGCCAUGAUGAUUAUGGACUAAACCUUUGAAACGUUUUCUUGUCCAGUAACUGCUUCGAGAAAGCACAUACUCCAUGCCUCAUGAGCUCUUGUCUAACAUGAGAAGACUGUCAGAUCUACAGCUUUUGUCUGAAUAAAGUCAGGCGCCCCUUGUGUGCUUACUCUACAGAAAGUCCAAUCCCAUGUCUGUAUUCAAUCA
rnacentral:lncRNA from 1 species